rnacentral:rRNA from 2 species
GGGUUGUGAGGUUAAGCGACUAAGCGUACACGGUGGAUGCCCUGGCAGUCAGAGGCGAUGAAGGACGUGCUAAUCUGCGAAAAGCGUCGGUAAGGUGAUAUGAACCGUUAUAGCCGGCGAUGUCCGAAUGGGGAAACCCAGUGCAAUUCGUUGCACUAUCGUUAACUGAAUACAUAGGUUAACGAGGCGAACCGGGGGAACUGAAACAUCUAAGUACCCCGAGGAAAAGAAAUCAACCGAGAUUCCCCCAGUAGCGGCGAGCGAACGGGGAGCAGCCCAGAGUCUGAAUCAGCUUGUGUGUUAGUGGAACGGUCUGGAAAGUCCGACGGUACAGGGUGAUAGUCCCGUACACCAAAAUGCACAGGUUGUGAACUCGAAGAGUAGGGCGGGACACGUGGUAUCCUGUCUGAAUAUGGGGGGACCAUCCUCCAAGGCUAAAUACUCCUGACUGACCGAUAGUGAACCAGUACCGUGAGGGAAAGGCGAAAAGAACCCCGGCGAGGGGAGUGAAAAAGAACCUGAAACCGUGUACGUACAAGCAGUGGGAGCACCUUCGGGUGUGACUGCGUACCUUUUGUAUAAUGGGUCAGCGACUUAUAUUCUGUAGCAAGGUUAACCGUAUAGGGGAGCCGCAGGGAAACCGAGUCUUAACUGGGCGUUAAGUUGCAGGGUAUAGACCCGAAACCCGGUGAUCUAGCCAUGGGCAGGUUGAAGGUUGGGUAACACUAACUGGAGGACCGAACCGACUAAUGUUGAAAAAUUAGCGGAUGACUUGUGGCUGGGGGUGAAAGGCCAAUCAAACCGGGAGAUAGCUGGUUCUCCCCGAAAGCUAUUUAGGUAGCGCCUCGUGAACUCAUCUUCGGGGGUAGAGCACUGUUUCGGCUAGGGGGUCAUCCCGACUUACCAACCCGAUGCAAACUACGAAUACCGAAGAAUGUUAUCACGGGAGACACACGGCGGGUGCUAACGUCCGUCGUGAAGAGGGAAACAACCCAGACCGCCAGCUAAGGUCCCAAAGUCAUGGUUAAGUGGGAAACGAUGUGGGAAGGCACAGACAGCCAGGAUGUUGGCUUAGAAGCAGCCAUCAUUUAAAGAAAGCGUAAUAGCUCACUGGUCGAGUCGGCCUGCGCGGAAGAUGUAACGGGGCUAAACCAUGCACCGAAGCUGCGGCAGCGACACUAUGUGUUGUUGGGUAGGGGAGCGUUCUGUAAGCCUGCGAAGGUGACCUGUGAGGGUUGCUGGAGGUAUCAGAAGUGCGAAUGCUGACAUAAGUAACGAUAAAGCGGGUGAAAAGCCCGCUCGCCGGAAGACCAAGGGUUCCUGUCCAACGUUAAUCGGGGCAGGGUGAGUCGACCCCUAAGGCGAGGCCGAAAGGCGUAGUCGAUGGGAAACAGGUUAAUAUUCCUGUACUUGGUGUUACUGCGAAGGGGGGACGGAGAAGGCUAUGUUAGCCGGGCGACGGUUGUCCCGGUUUAAGCAUGUAGGCUGGUUGUCCAGGCAAAUCCGGAUAAUCAAGGCUGAGGUGUGAUGACGAGGUACUACGGUGCUGAAGUAACAAAUGCCCUGCUUCCAGGAAAAGCCUCUAAGCAUCAGGUAACAUCAAAUCGUACCCCAAACCGACACAGGUGGUCAGGUAGAGAAUACCAAGGCGCUUGAGAGAACUCGGGUGAAGGAACUAGGCAAAAUGGUGCCGUAACUUCGGGAGAAGGCACGCUGGUGUGUAGGUGAAGUCCCUGCGGAUGGAGCUGAGACCAGUCGAAGAUACCAGCUGGCUGCAACUGUUUAUUAAAAACACAGCACUGUGCAAACACGAAAGUGGACGUAUACGGUGUGACGCCUGCCCGGUGCCGGAAGGUUAAUUGAUGGGGUUAUCCGUAAGGAGAAGCUCUUGAUCGAAGCCCCGGUAAACGGCGGCCGUAACUAUAACGGUCCUAAGGUAGCGAAAUUCCUUGUCGGGUAAGUUCCGACCUGCACGAAUGGCGUAAUGAUGGCCAGGCUGUCUCCACCCGAGACUCAGUGAAAUUGAACUCGCUGUGAAGAUGCAGUGUACCCGCGGCAAGACGGAAAGACCCCGUGAACCUUUACUAUAGCUUGACACUGAACAUUGAGCCUUGAUGUGUAGGAUAGGUGGGAGGCUUUGAAGCGUGGACGCCAGUCUGCGUGGAGCCAACCUUGAAAUACCACCCUUUAAUGUUUGAUGUUCUAACGUUGGCCCCUGACCGGGGUUGCGGACAGUGUCUGGUGGGUAGUUUGACUGGGGCGGUCUCCUCCCAAAGCGUAACGGAGGAGCACGAAGGUUAGCUAAUCCUGGUCGGACAUCAGGAGGUUAGUGCAAUGGCAUAAGCUAGCUUGACUGCGAGCGUGACGGCGCGAGCAGGUGCGAAAGCAGGUCAUAGUGAUCCGGUGGUUCUGAAUGGAAGGGCCAUCGCUCAACGGAUAAAAGGUACUCCGGGGAUAACAGGCUGAUACCGCCCAAGAGUUCAUAUCGACGGCGGUGUUUGGCACCUCGAUGUCGGCUCAUCACAUCCUGGGGCUGAAGUAGGUCCCAAGGGUAUGGCUGUUCGCCAUUUAAAGUGGUACGCGAGCUGGGUUUAGAACGUCGUGAGACAGUUCGGUCCCUAUCUGCCGUGGGCGCUGGAGAAUUGAGGGGGGCUGCUCCUAGUACGAGAGGACCGGAGUGGACGCAUCACUGGUGUUCGGGUUGUCAUGCCAAUGGCACUGCCCGGUAGCUAAAUGCGGAAGAGAUAAGUGCUGAAAGCAUCUAAGCACGAAACUUGCCCCGAGAUGAGUUCUCCCUGAGACUUUAAGUCUCCUGAAGGAACGUUGAAGACGACGACGUUGAUAGGCCGGGUGUGUAAGCGCAGCGAUGCGUUGAGCUAACCGGUACUAAUGAACCGUGAGGCUUAACCUUACAACGCCGAAG